UACGUAGGGACCAAGCGUUGUUCGGAAUUACUGGGCGUAAAGAGCUCGUAGGUGGUUUGUCGCGUUGUCCGUGAAAACUCACAACUCAAUUGUGGGCGUGCGGGCGAUACGGGCAGACUGGAGUACUGCAGGGGAGACUGGAAUUCCUGGUGUAGCGGUGGAAUGCGCAGAUAUCAGGAGGAACACCGGUGGCGAAGGCGGGUCUCUGGGCAGUAACUGACGCUGAGACGCGAAAGCGUGGGGAGCAAACAGG
rnacentral:rRNA from 1 species